AAAAAGGGUGUUUGCUACUUUCAUAGCACACUGGUUCUCCAGUCCGGUGGGGUAUGGAUAUCAAGACAUACCCAGCACAAAAUUUUUGACUGUUUGGGGCAGUUUUACAACCUUUCGUUUGAGACGCCCCC